GGCGACAUGGCCAAGCGGUAAGGCGGAGGACUGCAAAUCCUUUAUCCCCAGUUCGAAUCUGGGUGUCGCCUUAUCAACAAA
rnacentral:tRNA from 2 species